rnacentral:lncRNA from 1 species
AGAGAGAGUUUGGAGCUGAUUCCAGUUAGUAGGGUUUGCUGCUAAUAAUGCUUCUUAUGCUACUUGGUUUGUAGGAUAACUUACCUCCACAGCUGUAUACUCUGGUUCUUUCAGAUUGAAUGGGUUUUUUAUUUCCUAGAUGUAACUGAAUGUUCUUUGUAUUUCCGUGUUCUCACACUACUUAUCCAACAGAUAGAGAGAGAGAGAGGCUGCACCAUGUAUUACGUGAAAAGGGUCAAGUCUUUCUCAAGGUCAUUUGAGGUUCUUUGAUCUUUCAAGUGAUUCCUAUUCAACUCCUUUUAUUGCAGAAUCCUGAUCUCCUGCAAUAUUCAAGACCUUUUCUCCCCCUACAUGUCCGAGAGAGAGAGAGAGAGAGAGAGAGGCUCCACCAUAUAUUACGUAAAAGAGGUCAAGUCUUUCUCAAGGUCAUUGUAGUUCUUUGAUCUUUCAAAUGAUUCCUAUUCAACUUCUACCCGCGAAGUCCUCAUCUCCUGGAAUAUUCAAGGUCUUUCCUUCCCCUACUUAUCCGAGAGAGAAGAGAGAGAGAGAGAGGCUGCACCAUAUAUUACGUAAAAGAUGUCAAGUCUUUCUCAAGGUCAUUGAGGUUCUUGGAUCUUUCAAGUGAUUCCUAUUCGACUCCUUUUACUGCAGAAUCCUCGUCUCCUGGAAUAUUCAAGACCUUUUCUGAUGGCUCCAUGAAACUCCUGCACGUUUUCAUAUUUUUGUUUGAAUAAUUUUCUCUACACGCACCUCCAAGAUCUUAUUUGAAAGGACAUGUUGG